CUCAUUCUCAGAUUGACAUAUUCCUUCAGGUUCUACAAGCUGAUGGAGGGUUUUGAGAAGUGAUGUCAGGAAUGUAUCUGGGUGACAUUGUUCGUCGAGUAUUACCUACAACGUGCACUCCAAAUGCAAAAUUUAAAUCUGGGAACAACAUUGUUUGUUGGUGGAUUGAAUGUUUCCUACUCUCUCUCUCUCUCUCUCUCUCUCUCUCUCUCUCUCUCCUCUUUUUAAUUUUGAUUAAACUAAAGCGUUACUGUUGUUUGUUGGAUUUUUGUUUUUUACAGGACGAUGAAAAAACAAAAUGUUUAGGCUAAGCAAAGACAUUGAUUCAGCAUUUCAAGGUGUUGGAACCAAAAGGUCGUUUCUAUCCCAAAAUCUUCUUUUGGAAAAUUCCACUUUGGAAAUGCAUACCUUGUUCUCAGAACUGUUUUGCCCAAGAUCGGAUCUCCCCAGUAUGACAUUCACUAUUGGCCUUGAAAUGACGCAAAUGAGGUGGACUCAGUUUUGGCAUCUGACAAAGCUGAGAAGGUGCAAUACCGUGAAGAUAAGGUGCAGAACUUGGAUGUUGUACGGUGCAAUACCGUGAAGUUCAAGGUCAAGAGACUGAGAAGUUUCUCUCUUACUUUAAACCUUGUAUUAUACCUGUUGAAGGGAAUUAUUCACCAAAAAAUGGAUUGGCUGGCGAUACAUACCAAGUCACCUUGUUAAGCUGCAAAGGAGAUCAUGUUGUUCGU